rnacentral:rRNA from 1 species
GAAUGGCUCAUUAAAACAGUUAUAGUUUAUUUGAUGGUCUUUACUACAUGGAUAACCGUGGUAAUUCUAUGGCUAAUACAUGCGCACAUGCCUCUUCCCCUGGAAGGGCAGUGUUUAUUAGAUACAGAACCAACCCACCUUCCGGUGGUCCUCAGGUGAUUCAUAGUAACCGAACGGAUCGCGUUGACUUCGGUCUGCGACGGAUCAUUCAAGUUUCUGACCUAUCAGCUUUCGACGGUACUGUAUUGGACUACCGUGGCA